UAUCUCUCCGUGCGGGGAAGGAUGAGAAGCUUCGACUAAGGUUCGAUUCGAGCGCAGCGAGAAAGCGUUGCCGCAGGCAACGACCCCAAGGGCAAGGCGCUACGCGCCGAGUCAUCCUUCCUCCACCAUCA
rnacentral:sRNA from 2 species